rnacentral:rRNA from 1 species
UACAGAGGUCCCAAGCGUUGUUCGGAUUCAUUGGGCGUAAAGGGUGCGUAGGUGGUGAGGUAAGUCGGAUGUGAAAGCUCCGAGCUCAACUCGGAAAUGGCAUUGGAAACUACCUUGCUCGAGGGUUUGAGGGGGGACUGGAAUACUUGGUGUAGCAGUGAAAUGCGUAGAUAUCAAGUAGAACACCAGUGGCGAAGGCGAGUCCCUGGAAAACUCCUGACACUGAGGCACGAAAGCUAGGGGAGCAAACAGG